rnacentral:lncRNA from 1 species
UAAAUACUUGUCAUAAUAUAUUUUUAAAACAUAAAAUAGAUAAUUGACCGUGUGUUAUAACAUGUGAAUAAAUAUUCUAGUGGGUUAGCUCAUGCUUUACAUGCCCAUACUAGUGUGAUUUUUUAAAAAACCAAUAUUUUAUUUGGUAAUCACUACUGACAAAAAAACAAUAUUUGGUAAGUUAAUAGGAGGUGGGCAAUUGAUGUAACUUUUAGCGGAAAUCAGUGAAAUAAGCUAGAGAUGAGAAAAAAAAAUCAAAACAAAGAAAAAGGGAAGAGGAAGGGAGAACAUGCGUAAGGUUGGACGAAAUAGGACGAAUGAUAGAACCUUAGAUUAUUUUUUAAUUGAAAUUAGGUGAAGAGAAGAUACUAUUAAAAAUCUGAAUAUCUUCUUUGUUACAUCUCUUAAAUAAGAAAAAAUGAAGUGAAAAAACAGAAAAAAGGAAACUCAUGUAUGCAUGCGCUGUCUCACAGCGAGACAUGUGUGCAUGCAGGGCGGUUCACUCACGCAGGCAUCCUCGUCUAACCAUGGGCGCUCGGUGCAUACACGCCUUAGUGCGCCGAAAAUUAGAGCUGUUUGUGAAAGUUCUACAAGCUGCGUCGACUGUGUUUAUAACCUUUAAUGCGUUUCUUUCUUGGGUCUCAUCGUUUUGUGAAAGUUCUCUAUGUCCUUUUGUUGGGUUUCAUCGGCUUUCUUUCAGUUUGCAGUUGUUUUAAGUACAUGUAAACUAUUUGUAAAUUCAAUUAAAAUAUUUUGGUAUACAUGAAACUUUUCAGAUAAAU